rnacentral:ncRNA from 2 species
AAUAUCAGUGGAGAUGGCAUUCCUCCCUUAACCGCCUCACGUUUCUUUCGGGGCUGAUGAUGCCUGCGUUAGU